rnacentral:rRNA from 2 species
CAGAAGUGAAACGCCGUAGCGCCGAUGGUAGUGUGGGGUCUCCCCAUGUGAGAGUAGGGAACUGCCAGGC